UACAGAGACUGCAAGCGUUAUUCGGAUUCACUGGGCGUAAAGGGUGCGCAGGCGGCCAAGUGUGUGAGGCGUGAAAGCCUGGGGCUUAACUCCAGAAUUGCACCUCAAACUACAUGGCUAGAGCAUUGGAGAGGGUAGCAGAAUUCACGGUGUAGCAGUGAAAUGCGUAGAUAUCGUGAGGAAUACCAGAGGCGAAGGCGGCUACCUGGACAAGUGCUGACGCUCAGGCACGAAAGCGUGGGGAGCAAAAGGG
rnacentral:rRNA from 1 species